rnacentral:rRNA from 1 species
AAAAGCACCCCGGGAGGGGAGUGAAACAGUUCCUGAAACCGUGCGCCCACAAACCGUCGGAGCCUCUGUGUGGGGUGACGGCGUGCCUAUCGAAAAAUGAGUCUGCGAGUCAGUGGCGGGUGGCGAGCAUAAGCCGUGUGGCGUAUGCGUAGCGAAAGCGAGUCUUAAAAGGCGUUUGUAGUCGCUUGUCCUGGACCCGAAGCGGGAUGAUCUAGCCCUGGGCAGGUUGAAGCGCGGGUAAGACCGCGUGGAGGACCGAACCCACCUGGGUUGAAAACCGGGGGGAUGACCUGGGGCUAGGGGUGAAAGGCCAAUCAAAUUCCGUGAUAGCUGGUUCUCUCCGAAAUGCAUUUAGGUGCAGCGUCGGUCGAUUGCGUCGCGGGGGUAGAGCUACCGGAUGCUUGCGGGCCCUUGUUGGGUACCAACAGCAGCCGAACUCCGAAUACCGUUGACGUGUAUUCCGGCAGUGAGUCGGCGGGGGAUAAGCUCCGUCGUCGAGAGGGAGACAGCCCAGACCGUCGUCUAAGGUCCCGAAGCGUGUGCUAAGUGGGAAAGGAUGUGGAGUCGCAUAGACAGCCAGGAGGUUGGCUCAGAAGCAGCCAUCCUUGAAAGAGUGCGUAACAGCUCACUGGUCUAGUGGUUCCGCGCCGACAAUGUAGCGGGGCUCAAGCACACCACCGAAGACGCGGCAGCAAUCUUCAUGGUUGCUGGGUAGGAGAGCGUCCUGCGAGGGGCGAAGCGGCCGGGUGACCGUGCCGUGGACUUCGUGGGAGUGAGAAUGCAGACAUGAGUAGCGAGAGACGGGUGAGGAUCCCGUCCGCUGGAUGACCAAGGGUUCCGGGGCCACGUUCGUCGUCCCCGGGUGAGUCGGGUCCUAAGGCGAGGCCGACAGGCGUAGUCGAAUGGAUGAACGGGUGGAUAUUCCCGUACCGACCAUGGACCGGCAAAACCGAGACGGUGAGUACUAACCUCCGCCUCGUGGUGGUUCCUUCCUUCGGGUUGGUUCCGCCGCGUGGUGUUGGGAGCGUAGCCGCAGUAGGUCAGCGCAGGGGUGACACGGAAUGGGAGCCGGCCGCGGAGGUGGUUUUCCGUGGUCAAGCACGCAGCCAGUCAUGUAGGCAAAUCCGCAUGGCGCGCAUGGCGAGGUGUGAUGAUGGGAGCCGUUAUGGCUCGAUAUCCGGUUGUCCAGGCCGUCGAGAAAAGCCUCGGCGUGAGGGCCAUGGCCGCCCGUACCCCAAACCGACACUGGUGGUCAGGUAGAGAAUACCAAGGCGAUCGAGCGAAUCCUGGUCAAGGAACUCGGCAAAUCACUCCCGUGCCUUCGGUAUAAGGGAGACCCGCUGGGGUGAACCGGCUAGCCCGGGGAGCUUUGGUGGGUGGCACAGACCAGGGGGUAGCGACUGUUUACCAAAAACACAGGUGCAUGCGAAGGCGAAAGCCGCUGUAUAUGCACUGACGCCUGCCCGGUGCCGGAAGGUUAAGAGGAUCCGUCAAUCCCUUCGGGGACGAAGCGGUGAAUUCAAGCCCCGGUAAACGGCGGUGGUAACUAUAACCAUCCUAAGGUAGCGAAAUUCCUUGUCGGGUAAGUUCCGACCUGCACGAAUGGCGUAACGACUUCCCCACUGUCUCGACCAGGAGCUCGGCGAAAUUGCAGUACGAGUAAAGAUGCUCGUUAAGCGCAGAAGGACGAAAAGACCCCGGGACCUUUACUAUACCUUGGUAUUGGCGUUAGGCGCGGAUUGUGUAGCAUAGGCGGGAGGCUUCGAAGCGUGGGCGCCAGCUCAUGUGGAGCCGCAAGGUGAAAUACCGCUCUGUUCUCGUUUGACGUCUAACCUCGACAAGUCAUCCUUGUCAGGGACAGUGCCUGGCGGGUAGUUCAACUGGGGCGGUUGCCUCCCAAAGAGUAACGGAGGCGCUCAAAGGUCCGCUCAGCCCGGUUGGCAAUCGGGUGUCGAGUGUAAUCGCACAAGCGGGCUUGACUGCGAGGACGACGGUCCGAGCAGGGACGAAAGUCGGAGAUAGUGAUCCGGUGCCGGCGCACGGGCGCGGCAUCGCUCAACGGAUAAAAGGUACUCCGGGGAUAACAGGCUGAUCAUUCCCAAGAGU